rnacentral:RNase_P_RNA from 1 species
GCAUCCAGGCGGCCGCUCAGGGUGGGUUCUCCACCCUGGGAGGAAAGUCCGAGCACGACAGGACACGGUGGUGGGUAACGCCCACCGGCCCGCUGCAGGGUCAGGGACAGUGCCACAGAGAACAGACCGCCCGCGGUUUCGGCCGCAGGUAAGGGUGAAACGGUGCGGUAAGAGCGCACCGCCCGUUGGGUGACCAACGGGGCACGGCAAACCCCACCGCGUGCAAGUGCAAGCAGCUUCCGUCCGACCCUGUCGGGCACCCGCUGUCCGCGGGGCGUGGAGCGGGUCGCGCGCUUGAGCCCUCGGGCAACCGAUGGCCUAGAGAAAUGGUCGCCACCGGGCAACCGGGACAGAACUCGGCUUAUCGAUGCAUGC